rnacentral:rRNA from 1 species
UACAGAGGUCCCAAGCGUUGUUCGGAUUCACUGGGCGUAAAGGGGGCGUAGGCGGUCGGGUAAGUCUGAUGUGAAAUCUCACAGCUUAACUGUGAAACUGCAUUGGAUACUAUCCGGCUAGAGGAAUGGAGGGGAGACUGGAAUACUUGGUGUAGCAGUGAAAUGCGUAGAUAUCAAGUGGAACACCAGUGGCGAAGGCGAGUCUCUGGACAUUACCUGACGCUGAGGCACGAAAGCCAGGGGAGCAAACGGG